rnacentral:rRNA from 1 species
AUUGAACGCUGGCGGCAUGCUUUACACAUGCAAGUCGAACGGUAACAGGGUGCUUGCACCGCUGACGAGUGGCGAACGGGUGAGUAAUGCGUCGGAACGUGCCGAGUAGUGGGGGAUAACGCAGCGAAAGUUGUGCUAAUACCGCAUACGUACUGAGGUAGAAAGUGGGGGACCUUCGGGCCUCACGCUAUUCGAGCGGCCGACGUCUGAUUAGCUAGUAGGUGAGGUAAGAGGUCACCUAGGCGGCGAUCAGUAGCGGGUCUGAGAGGAUGAUCCGCCACACUGGGACUGAGACACGGCCCAGACUCCUACGGGAGGCAGCAGUGGGGAAUUUUGGACAAUGGGCGCAAGCCUGAUCCAGCCAUGCCGCGUGUCUGAAGAAGGCCUUCGGGUUGUAAAGGACUUUUGUCAGGGAGGAAAUCCUAGUGGCUAAUAACUGCUGGGGAUGACAGUACCUGAAGAAUAAGCACCGGCUAACUACGUGCCAGCCGCCGCAGUAACAC